rnacentral:rRNA from 1 species
UACGUAGGGUGCGAGCGUUGUCCGGAAUUACUGGGCGUAAAGAGCUCGUAGGCGGUCUGUCGCGUCGGCUGUGAAAUCCCGAGGCUCAACCUCGGGUCUGCAGUCGAUACGGGCAAACUAGAGUAUUGCAGGGGAGACUGGAAUUCCUGGUGUAGCGGUGAAAUGCGCAGAUAUCAGGAGGAACACCGGUGGCGAAGGCGGAUCUCUGGGCCAUAACUGACGCUGAGGAGCGAAAGCAUGGGGAGCGAACAGG